CUGGAGAUCCCUUUUCUCAAGUUUCAUAGUGAGCCUAGGAUACAGAGAAAAGAGCUUACACAGAAGACCCAGAAAAGAUAAGACUUAGAUAUGUUGAUGGGUACUACACUGAGGCUUUUUUGCCUGUGUGAUGAGUGCAGAGAAUACUCAUGGCCUCAGUCCUUGGCUGUCUGACCUGCAGGAAAUGCUGUUAUACUUAUUUUGCAAAUGGAAAACCACAACCUCAAGAAACUACAGCCAAGCAAGAUCAGAAAGUACUUCACACAGAGGACAAGAAGCAACCUUUCUAAGAGGAUAAAGUCAACAAGUGAAGUCAGAAUUCUGUGUUCCUGAGUUUGUUUGUUUUUUAAGUCAUGAUGCAGCUGCCAGGAUGAUGAGUUAUUGGCUGCCAAUGCAGUUGUUGUACAGGACUGGUUAGCUGCAUACCACAUGGCAGAAUUAACACCCAACUGUAACUCACUGAACAGGUAUGCAAAUACACUUUCCAACCCACCAGGAGCUGCAGCCACCACAAGGCCUUCCCUCAGCCUCCUCUGCAAUGGAAUGAACAAAGCCAGGGACCUCAGCUGCUCCUCAUACUUCUUGUUCUCCAUACUCUUCACCAUCCUGGUUGUUCUCCUUUAAAACUGCUCUACAUGUUUUAUGUCUUUCCUAUAUUGUGGCACCCCAAAAUUUGCCAGCAAUGUGAACACCUGAAGUGGUAUUCACUUGUCAUUUGAAUGACCAUCUCAUGGCUAGCUUAAAGGUUUUCUUUCUGUUGUCUUACUUCCUCAGCAGCUCCUUCCCACUGCCUCAGCAGGUGAGGAAUUGCAGUGAAUAGGCCAGAAGCACAUCUUGUGGGAAGAUAAGAGGACAACUGCUGCUGAUACUGCUGCUGCAAAAUGAAGGCAUUAUUUCUGUGCCCUCUUUCACUUGUUCUCUCAGCUUCUGGUUCCUGAACCUUGUGGUUAUGAGCUGCCUCACCUGUGUCACGUGCAGCCCAUUUUCCUCCCUAUUUUGCUC